AUUGAACGCUGGCGGCAGGCUUAACACAUGCAAGUCGAGCGAGCGGCGGACGGGUGAGUAAUGUCUGGGAAACUGCAUGAUGGAGGGGGAUAACUAAUGGAAACGGUAGCUAAUACCGCAUACCAUCAGAUGUGCCCAGAUGGGAUUUGCUAAUAGGUGGGGUAAGGGCUCACCUAGGCGACGAUCCCUAGCUGGUCUGCGAGGAUGACAAGCCACACGGGAACUGAGACACGGUCCAGCCUCCUACGGGAGGCAGUAGUGGGGAAUAUUGCACAAUGGGCACAAGCCGGAUGCAGCCAUGCCGCGUGUGUGAAGAAGGCCUUCGGGUUGUAAAGCACUUUCAGCGAGGAGGCGUUACUCGCAGAAGAAGCACCGGCUAACUCCGUGCCAGCAGCCGCGGUAAUAC
rnacentral:rRNA from 1 species